rnacentral:rRNA from 1 species
GACCCGGUACCAUUAGCUUGUUGGUAGGGUAAUGGCUUACCANAGGAACGAAGUUUAGCUGGCCUGAGAGGAUGAUCAGCCACACUGGAACUGAGACACGGUCCAGACUCCUACGGGAGGCAGCAGUGGGGAACUCUUGCGACAAGGGGAAACACAACAACAGCGACGCCGCGUGAGUGAUGAAGGCCUUCGGGUCGUAAAGCUCUGUCAGGUGGGAAGUGCCGGUACCACCAAAGGAAGCACCGGCUAACUCCGUCCCAGCAGCCGCGGUAAUACGGAGGGUGCGAGCGUUGUUCGGAAUUAUUGGGCGUAAAGAGCUUGUUAGCGGUUUGGCAAGUCAGAUGUGAAAGCCCUCGGCUCAACCAGGGAAGUGCAUUGAAACUGCCGGACUAGAGUACGGGAGAGGAGAGCGGAAUUCCCGGUGUAGAGGUGAAAUUGUAGAU